rnacentral:misc_RNA from 1 species
GAUGAAUAACGUAGCGAAAUGCGAUAAGUAGUGUGAAUUGCAGAAUUCAGUGAAUCAUCGAAUCUUUGAACGCACAUUGCGCCCCAUGGUAUUCCGUGGGGCAUGCCUGUUCGAGCGUCAUUUACCCCCUCAAGCUCCGCUUGGUGUUGGGCGUCUGUCCCGCUUCGCGCGCGGACUCGCCCCAAAGGUAUUGGCAGCGGUCGUGCCAGCUUCUCGCGCAGCACAUUGCGCUUCUCGAGGCACCGGUGGGCCCGCGUCCAUCAAGCUCACCCCCCCAGUUUGACCUCGGAUCAGGUAGGGAUACCCGCUGAACUUAAGCAUAUCAAUAAGCGGAGGA